rnacentral:ribozyme from 1 species
GUUCGUGCUCUGAUCGAUCGUGGUGGCAAAUCGUGGCGUAGCCUGAUUCUCGUCUCAGCACUUAAUGCUCUGUACGAGGAUUACUUUGACGGAUCCCGCUACAUCGCGAUUGCGGAGCUGCUUCACGU